GUGCCAGCAGCCGCGGUAAUACGAAGGGGGCUAGCGUUGUUCGGAAUUACUGGGCGUAAAGCGCGCGUAGGCGGACAUCUAAGUCAGGGGUGAAAUCCCAGGGCUCAACCCUGGAACUGCCUUUGAUACUGGACGUCUGGAGUUCGGGAGAGGUGAGUGGAAUUCCGAGUGUAGAGGUGAAAUUCGUAGAUAUUCGGAGGAACACCAGAAGCGAAGGCGGCUCACUGGCCCGAUACUGACGCUGAGGCGCGAAAGCGUGGGGAGCAAACAGGAUUAGAUACCCGCGUAGUCC
rnacentral:rRNA from 1 species